rnacentral:lncRNA from 1 species
UUUUCCAUUAUCGCUAUUUAUAGUUGCGUAUGGGUAUCCAGCCAUUACCAUUUGGAGCUCUGAUUCCAGCUUCAAUGGAGACAUUGUCCAACUCGGAGUCCUGCAAUGGAGAGAGCAAAGUUUAUGCUGUCAUUCUUGAUUUGGAUGGAACCCUUUUGGAUACAGGUUUUCUUCUAGUCCAUUUUUAUUUUCAUUUUUAUUAGGUUCUUUUCUCUAGGACAGAGCAGUUUUUGGUAAAACUGACUGAAUCCAAUCGAACCGAUCAAUUUGGUUCAUAAGAUUUCUAAGAAAGUCAAAUCAGUUUUGAUUGUAAUAGAAUUUGAAAUUUUUUGAUUUGAUUCAAUUUAAUAAAAAUGCUAAAAAUGAACUUGAUUUAACACAAAAAUCAAACUGAAUCAAAUUGAUUCGGUUCGGUUUGAUUCAAAAUAGGCUUUAAAGAUUUGAUUUGUACUACGUUCAAUUUAAUUUGAAUUGAACCGAGGGAAUGAUGAUCUCUAAUUUUUUUUCUCUAUAUAAGAUCUUAAUAUUUUUAUUAUUUUUAUUAUUUUGUUAAUGUGAAGAGAGUGCUACAAAGGGUGUUCUGAAAGAAUUUUUGGCCAAGUAUGGGAAAGAACUGGACAAGGAAAGGGAAGAAAGUAAGAGGUUGGGGAUGACUCUGCAGGACUCGGCAGUUGCCAUUGUUAAGGAUUAUGGUCUGCCUCUAACACCUGACCAAUUCAUCCAUGAAAUCAUGCCCAUGUAUCGUCACAGGUAUGUUUGUUAUUGGUAUUAUUAUUCAAUUUUAGUUAUUUAUAUAUGUUUGAGUAUUUUAACUUUUUGAUAGUUUGAUAUAUAAUAAAUGUUAGGUGUUCGGUAAAUUAUUUGUUUUUAAGAAGAAAUCAAGUUAGAAAUUUCAUUAAGAGGAAACUGUAUACUGAUAUAGGAUACCAAUCAUUAUGUUUCUAUAUUUUUAUAUAAAAAGUCUAAUAAUAAAUCACUUAUACAAGAAAUAAAAAACUCAAUCUUAAUUUGAAGUAUAUGAUCGAGUUGACAUAAUAUAAUAUUUGUUGCAUAUGCAAUCGCUUGCUCUACUUAAUGGCUAUUCGUGGCAAUUGUUUGACUUCAUAGUUUUCCUACAAGUCCGAUCUGAUCACUUCUAAAUUUCUUCCUCUAUUAAAGAGAAAAUCUAUACUUUUUUCUGCAUAAUUAUCUAAAUAACAAAAUACCCUAAAUAAAAUCACCAUAAUAAAACAGAUAACUAUAACUCAGAACUAGAUCUAAGAACAAAAUCUCAAGAUAUGGCAAUAAUAAAUCUCAAUAUUUGAAUAACAGUAACUCAUGUCUAUUAAAAAGAUACAAAACAGGAAAUAGGGUAAUUACCGGUAAGAGCUCACUGGUGGUCAUAAGAGAAAGAAGAAAAGAGAACUUUUAAGUUUUUGGAAGGAAGAGAGCUUUUAAGUUUUGUAAAAUUUUUUAUUAAAAAAUUAAGAAUUCAGUAAAACGUAAAUUUGAGGGCUUCUAUUUUAAUUGUAAUAUCUAAUGAUGGAGACAGUUUUUUUGGUGGACUUAAAUAAAUUAAUCUUUUUAAUACGACCAACAUAUUUAUAUAUGCAGUUCUUUAUAUAAACUUAUCACAAUCAAGUAAAUAUAAAAAUAUAAUUUUUUUUUUUUUUUUUUUUGUGAAUUCCACCACGUUUUAUCCAAAAUUAGCUACCAGUUAUGUUAAUAGUUUCUGAAUCAAAAUAAAACUGCUUCUGCUUUGUAUAGCUUUGGAAAUAAAAUAUAUAUAUAUAGCAUAUUCUUUGAGAAACUGAAAAUUAAAGCACCUUCAAAAUUUAAAAAUUUACUUAAAGAUAUAGCUUUUGCAGCAUUUUGUUGUAAUCUUAUAUAUAUAUAUUCUUCAAUCUGAUAGGUGGUCACAUGCUAGAGCUUUACCAGGUGCUAAUCGUCUUAUCAAACAUCUGUGGAAAAAUGGAGUGCCAAUUGCUCUUGCUUCGAACUCCUCCACAGAAAAUAUAGAUGCCAAAAUCUCUCAUCAACAAGGUUAUAUUUCUUUUACUUGUUUGAACUUCCACCGGAAAAAAAAAAAAAAAACAAAAAAAGAAACUAAUUGCAUUCUCAAUUGACUCUUAAAUCCUUAACUAUUAAAAUUAUUUUUAUUAAAUACUUUGAUUUGUAAAACUGUACCUAUUAAAUAUAAUUUUACUCAAUUUUCAAUUUCUACCUAAAAAUUUAUAAAUGCGAUACUUUAAUGCUUUUUUUGAUAUAAUUUAUUCAAAUAUGAUUUCACAUUUUUUUAAUCAUUCAAUAAGUGUGUAAUAAGUAUAAUUUUUAUAAAUUAAGUAUUCAACAGGUAUAAUUUUAUAAAUUGAAGUAUUAAAGUAAUUUAAGAUACAUGCAUUAAUUUCAGAAUCAAUCGCUUUGUAGUAUAUCCAAGUCAUUUAUUCAUCAUUCAUACAAUUUAAUAUUUAUUCUCAAAUUUCUAUAAAAUAUAUUCAUGUAUUAACACAUUGUUAUUACAAAUUAAAAGGGUAAAGGUAAAUUAAAUAAGAGGUUAGGAUUCAUAAGAUGAAAAUGUGUGAUAUGAGCAAUACUUACACUUGGGUCAAACAAUACUAAAAGAUUAGUACUAACCAAUUAGUUAACUUGCCACCCUCAUAUGCCCGUUAUGGAUUUAUUAUUUAGUUCACAUAGAAUUCUUAACAAUUAUUUAUGGAUUUACACAUCAAUACCGAAUUUAUAUUCAUAGAUAGCAUGUAAUUUAAAUCAUGUAUUUUGAAUUUCAAUUAACGUUCAUAAUCCUCAUAUCAUAUUGCUAUCCAAAAUCACACCUCAGGACUUUUAUGAUUAGCCAAAGCGGCAUCUGAACAUUUAUGAUUUUCAUCAAUUUUAGGCUUUAUACCUCUAAUAAUAUCAAUCUUUUAUAAGAAAAUAAAAAAUUUUAUAUAUAUAUAUAUAUAUAUAUAUAUAAAAUAUCCCUUGUUUAAAAUAUAUGAAUUUCAUAAAAUUUUAUGGAAUGCAUUUAGAAAUCUAUAUUUUUGUGUUUGGAAUAAAAAAAAAGUAUAAAUUUCAAUUCCAAGAAUUUAAAUCCAGGAAUUGAACAUAACUACCUUAAAUCUCACAAAAAUAAGUGAAAUUUUCAAAUGAAUUUCACAAAACUAAACACUCCAAUUUUUUGUGACAAAACUACCCUUUCCUUCUACAACGUCAAUUUUAAAAUUCUUUUUACUUAUUUAAAAAUCUAGAAUAGUGUCUAAAAUAUAAAAUAUGCAAUUCCACAAUAAUUCUACCAAUUGUAGAAAUUAAUAUUAUAAGAGAUAAAAAAAAUAAAAAUCUAAUGGUUGAUUCUUUUAUGAAAUCUUGGUACAAUGAGUUUUAAAACACCAGUUGAAUUAAACAGUCACUCAAAAGUUAAAAUUUUCUCAUGAAGUUCUUUGCAUAUUUAGUUAAUUCUCAGCUGGAGGUAUAAUAUCAAUCACUCGACAUCCCUCAAUGGCUUAAAAAAACAAGAAAGAAGUAAAAAGCAUGAGCACCUGAAUACAGAGAAUUAAACACAUAUAGUCUAUACAUGGAGAAACAAAAAUGAAAAGGAGAAUAAUUGAUUGAUAAUAAAGGAUAAUAUUAGAUUUCAAAAUUAAAUUUAAUUUAGAUUUCAAAAUUGAAUUAAUUUAGAUUUUAUCUGCUUACUGAAUAUUAGAUUAGAUUAAAUUUGUAAAAGAAAAAAAAUAUUCAAAAGUUAUUAAAAAAUAAGAAAAUUUAUAAAAAAAAUAAAAAGUAAAGCUCAAACGAUAGAAUGCCAAGUCAGCUUUCUAGAGUUUUUUUUCUUCGGGAUGGAUGGAUAUAUAUAUAUAUAUUGUAUAUAUAUUAGUUAAAUGAAGAAGACAUUUUACACAUUUUAGGUUUUGAACGGAGACAUUUUAUACAAAUUAAAGAUAACUAUUAUGAUGAAUGUUAUUAAUUAUUUUAUAUAUUAUAUUUAUAUAAUUAAUUAAUUAAUUAGGGUGGAAUGUGAGUGUAUUUAUUUAUAUGAAAUUUAUUAUUUAUAUCUUAGUAAAAAGCAACUUAUGAUAUUGUAUAUAAUAAAUAUAAUUGGUGUUUGUUAUUUGUUUUUGUUAAAUUAUUAUGUCAAUGGUAUUUUAGAAAAUAAAGACAAAUGAAUUUUUAUUUAAGAGUUUAUUCCAAAUAUAGUUUCGUAGAAUUCAAUUGAACUCCUCAUUUUAAAUUAAACAUACCAAAUAUGAUAAAUUCAUUUAUAAAUAAAUUCUACUUGGAAUUCAUUUAUAAAUGAAUUCUUCAUCUAUGAUUCAUUUGUUCCAAACAUAUUGUUGAUGUAGAAUUCUUUUCCACCAUUAAAUUUAGGAUAGAUAAAUAUAAACCAUUUGAUCUAAACUAAACGAAGUGACUUAGAAAUAAGUUAUCAAAAGUAGAGGUUUUCCAUUUUUUUUUUCAAUAUAUCAAAAGUAGUUAAAAUCUAUAAAAAUAGCAUAUUUAUUUUUUAUUUAAUAUCCACCUUUUCUUUCCUGUUAAUAGAUAUAAAAGUAAUUAUUUAAUGGUGUGAAUUUAAAUAUUAUUUUCAAUACAACUAUAAUUUUUUGUCAAAAUAAAUAAUUAUCUAAUAUAUCAAACUCAUUUACCCAAAAUAAAUUAUUUAAAAUUCUAAUAAAUAAUUAUAAAUUUUUAUUUAUUUUAUUCAAAAUUUUUAGCAUGUAUUUAUACAAUUAAAAUUGUAUUAUGUACAUGUCAUUAUCUUUAAUAUAACAUUUUAAAUUGAGAAAACUAAUAAUGUUUGACUUAAAAUUUAUCUCCUUUUAUAAUAUUUAAUAAACCCAUGUGUCCAAAAAAUUAUAUAAAUGGAACCAUAUUAAUUGUAUUUUAUUGUAUUUAUUUGAGUCUUAUGAAAAAUAACUUUAUAUUAAAGUUAAAACAGAAGGUGAGAUUUUAAAUAAUUUAAUUUUUCUUUCGUGUAUAUAUAGAUAAACAAACCAUGUGAGGUUAUUUUCAUAAUAUCUCUUAAAAUGUGCUAAAUUGUAACUUUUGAUUAUGUGAUAAUUUGCAUAAAUAUUUAUAAAUUAAUUUUAGAUGUUCAAAAAAAAAAAUAUUAGUCAAAUAACAAUUGUUAUGCAUAAUAUUUCUUCCAUGGAGUAUGCAAAGUAAAUAUGUACUUAUUCUAUUAUUUUGUUUAAUUUAAUAUUAUGCAUAAAUACUAUAGUAUAAAUACUCUUUUUAUAUUAUUUAUAUAAGAGUAUAAUACUAUUAAAUCAAACCAUAUAAACAAUAUUUAUAGAAUAGUUUAUAAUAUUUCAUUAUGUUUUUGUCACUUACUCUUGCAUACUUUUUAUACUUGUUAUGGAAUAAAAGAGAAAUAGGGAAAAGAAAAUACAGUUAAGAAAUAUAAAAAUAAAUGGCUUAAUAUAUUGUUUCACUCUCAACUUUAGGUUUUGUUGCAAUUUCACUUCAAUUUGGCCUUUAUGUCAAUUUCACCAUGAAUUUAAACCUUCUGUUGCAAUUUCAUUUCAAUUUGACUUUAUACCAAUUUCACCUUGAACUUUGACAUUUUAUUGCAAUAAUACCUUAAAUUAUAAUUAGGACUUAAAUUGUAAAUAAAAAAUAGAUUCAUUUUUUACUUUAGACUUGGAUUAACUUAAUACAUUUAUGUGAGUGAAGGAAUUUGGGUUAAUAGUAUGGACAAUUUCUAUUAUUAUUUUUAAUAUUUUUAUAUUGUUUCUUUAAUUGAUAAUAAAUAAUAUUUAAAAAUUAAUUUUUUGAUACAUGAAUGUUUUUUUUUAAAUAGAACAUAAUUAUUUUUUAUAUUCCAUUUUGAUAAAAAAUGCUACAAUUUCUAAUAGUUUAGGAGUCAAAUAAAUUGAUAGUAGCUUUAUUUUAGAUUUUAUAAUUAUUUUAAAAUUUAUAUUAAAAUCCAACCAUAAUAAUAAUUAUAUUCUAAUUUUUUUAAAAAACAAAAGUUCAUAUUUCAAAUAAUUCAUUUUUAAAUAUUACUUAUCAUCAAUAAAAGAAAGAAUUUAAAAUAUUAAAAUAAUAAUAGAGAUUGUCCUUAUUAUUAAUCUAAUCUCUCUGAUUAAUCGAUCGAGCCCUAGAUUAAAAGUGAAUCUAUUUUUUAUUUACAAUUUAAGUCUUAAUUAUAUAAUUUUUGGUGUGCUUUGUUUGGAAAUAUCAUUUGUAGAGAAAAAAAAAAAGAUCAUUUGUGUUGGUAAAAUCAAUUGGUUAUAUUAAGAAGGUUGCUCAUAUUUACAGAGAAAUUAAUAAAUGUGCUGAUUGGUUAUCUAAGGAGGCUUCUUCUCUACCUUAUUGAGUUUAAGUUCUUAAAGAUCCUCCUCCUAAUUUAUUGCCUUUUGCUUAGUUAUGAUGGUCAUAGUAUAGCUGUUAGUGUUUACUGGUAGAGUUUCUAGCUAGUUUUGUUUAAUUCUCUCUUUUACUUUUUAAUUAAAGGGAAAUUAAUUAUUUAGUCCUUCAUAUACGACGAAAUUAUCUAAAUAAUGUUUUCAUUUUGAAUAAAUAUUCAGCGUGUCCCUCGUGUUUGCUUACGUGAUUCUGAGUAGUUUUUCUGUCUAAUUUUGAAAAUUUUUUCCGUUAAGACAUAAGAAAAUGACUAAAAUAGUCAGGGCAAUAUGAAAGCUACGUACCUUCUCUCCCUCCCCGCCAUAUUCGCCUGCACUGCCUCCACCAUCGCCGCUUCUGCCAUUACAUCGCCACCCUCGCCAUCACCAUCUUCAAAGUCACCAAAAUCUGCAAACUCUUCCAUCACCAUCACCAUCGCCACCGCCUCUGCCUCUGUCUCUAUCUCCAUCUCCACCUCCACCUUCACCUCCAUCUUCACCUCCAGCCCGUUCCCAAAGUCAUCGCUGCUCCUUGCGCUACACACCGGUGACAUCGAAUUCACCGGCGUUGACCGUUCAUUGGAGUUCGUGCCUCUCUGAAGUCUUCUUAAUUCUUGAGCUUCUUUAGCUAUUUAUUUUGUGGAUCUGAAUGGUUUCUUUCAUGGGUUGUCAUUACUUUACUCUAUUUUAUCUCAAAGGCUGAGUUUCAGUUUGGUUCAGCGCUCAGAUCUUGUAUUUUCGACUUUUUUUUGUCUAAAGCUUUGAUUUUUGGACUCUGAUUUGUAUCUAGUUUAAGUUUUUCAUUUUCUGCUUCACCUAUAUCUUGUUAAUUCUACUGUAUGUGCUACUAUCAUUUAUAGAUUUGAAUGUUCUAUUUUUUUUAGGGUUGAACAGAGCAUCCAUGAGUCUGUAAUUUGGAGAUUAAUGCAUUUGCUUUGUUUUCUCAUCAA